GACGAACGCUGGCGGCGUGCUUAACACAUGCAAGUCGAACGGAAAGGCCCUGCACUUGUGGGGUGCUCGAGUGGCGAAAGGGGGAGUAUCACGUGAGUAACCUGUCCCUGACUUUGGGAUAACUCCAGGAAACUGGGGCUAAUACCGGACAUGAGCUCCUUCAGCAUGGUGGGGGUGUGUAAGUGUCGGCGGUUCGGGAUGGACUCGCGGCUCAUCAGCUUGUUGGUGGGGUAGUGGCUUACCAAGGCUUUGACGGGUAGCCGGCCUGAGAGGGUGACCGGCCACAUUGGGACUGAGAUACGGCCCAGACUCCUACGGGAGGCAGCAGUGGGGAAUAUUGCACAAUGGGCGGAAGCCUGAUGCAGCAACGCCGCGUGCGGGAUGACGGCCUUCGGGUUGUAAACCGCUUUCGCCUGUGACGAAGCGUGAGUGACGGUAAUGGGUAAAGAAGCACCGGCUAACUACGUG
rnacentral:rRNA from 1 species